rnacentral:rRNA from 1 species
UACGGAAGGGGCAAGCGUUGUUCGGAAUCAUUGGGCGGAAAGGGCGCGUAGGUGGUUCUGUAUGUCUACCGUUAAAGCCUACAGCUCAACUGUAUUUUGUCGGUAGAAACUGCAGGACUUGAGGCUGGGAGGGGCUGGUGGAAUUCCCUGUGUAGCGGUGAAAUGCGUAGAGAUGGGGGAGAACACUCGUGGCGAAGGCGGCCAGCUAGACCAGUUCUGACACUGAGGCGCGACAGCGGGGGGAGCAAACAGG